rnacentral:rRNA from 1 species
UUUACGGAGAGUUUGAUCCUGGCUCAGGACGAACGCUGGCGGCGUGCUUAACACAUGCAAGUCGAACGAUGAUGCCCAGCUUGCUGGGUGGAUUAGUGGCGAACGGGUGAGUAACACGUGAGUAACCUGCCCCUGACUCUGGGAUAAGCGUUGGAAACGACGUCUAAUACUGGAUAUGACUGCCGGCCGCAUGGUCUGGUGGUGGAAAGAUUUUUUGGUUGGGGAUGGACUCGCGGCCUAUCAGCUUGUUGGUGAGGUAAUGGCUCACCAAGGCGAC